rnacentral:rRNA from 1 species
UACGUAGGGGGCUAGCGUUGUCCGGAUUUAUUGGGCGUAAAGAGCGUGUAGGCGGCCAGGUAGGUCUGCUGUGAAAACUCGAGGCUCAACCUCGAGAUGUCGGCGGAAACCAUCUGGCUAGAGUCCGGAAGAGGAAAGUGGAAUUCCUGGUGUAGCGGUGAAGAUGCGCAGAUAUCAGGAAGAACACCCGUGGCGAAGGCGGUUCUCUGGGACGGUACUGACGCUGAGACGCGAAAGCGUGGGGAGCGAACAGG